AAUAGAUACCCGGGUAGUCCACGCCGUAAACGAUGGAUGCUAGCUAUUGGGGGGAAUCGACCCCCUCCGAAGCGAAGCUAACGCGUUAAGCAUCCCGCCUGAGUAGUACGAGCGCAAGCUUAAAACUCAAAGGAAUUGACGGGGACCCGGCACAAGCGGUGGAGCGUGUGGUUUAAUUCGAUGGUAAACGAAGAACCUUACCAAGGUUUGGCAUCCCGGUAGCCGUUCUCCGAAAGGAGAAUUUCAUUUAGUUGGACCGGUGACAGGUGAUGCAUGGCCGUCGUCAGCUCGUGUCGUGAGAUGUUGGGUUAAGUCCCGCAACGAGCGCAACCCUUAUGAUUUAGUUGGAUUUUUCUAAACAGACUGCCCUGGUAACAGGGAGGAAGGAGGGGAUGAUGUCAGGUCAGUAUUUCCCUUACACCUUGGGGCGACACACGCGCUACAAUGGCCGGUACAAUGGGCAGCUAAGCCGCGAGGUGGAGCAAAUCCCAUCAAAGCCGGUCCCAGUUCGGAUUGCAGGCUGAAACCCGCCUGCAUGAAGCCGGAAUCGCUAGUAACC
rnacentral:rRNA from 1 species